UCCCUGGUGGCUAAAACGGUAAAGCGUCUGCCUGCAAUGCAGAAGACCCAGGUUCAAUCCCUGGGUUGGGAA
rfam:TPA: Bos taurus chromosome 12, whole genome shotgun sequence.